GAUGAACGCUGGCGGCGUGCCUAAUACAUGCAAGUCGAGCGAACGGACGAGAAGCUUGCGUCUCUGAUGUUAGCGGCGGACGGGUGAGUAACACGUGGAUAACCUACCUAUAAGACUGGGAUAACUUCGGGAAACCGGAGCUAAUACCGGAUAAUAUUUUGAACCGCAUGGUUCAAAAGUGAAAGACGGUCUUGCUGUCACUUAUAGAUGGAUCCGCGCUGCAUUAGCUAGUUGGUAAGGUAACGGCUUACCAAGGCAACGAUGCAUAGCCGACCUGAGAGGGUGAUCGGCCACACUGGAACUGAGACACGGUCCAGACUCCUACGGGAGGCAGCAGUAGGGAAUCUUCCGCAAUGGGCGAAAGCCUGACGGAGCAACGCCGCGUGAGUGAUGAAGGUCUUCGGAUCGUAAAACUCUGUUAUUAGGGAAGAACAUAUGUGUAAGUAACUGUGCACAUCUUGACGGUACCUAAUCAGAAAGCCCCGGCUAACUACGUG
rnacentral:rRNA from 1 species